UCGGACCCAGGGAGCUGGCCAGCAGGGGGCGAGGCUAAUGGCUUCCAGGACGCUACCAAAGGAUGGAGAGAACGGUAUCAGAAGGCGGGGCCAAGCAGGAUGACAGAUCCUGACGUGGACGUCUUGGGGAACCGCCAUGUUGGGAAA